GGGCCUGUAGCUCAAUCGGGAAGAGCGCCUGGCUUGCAACCAGGGAACGUCGGUUCGAAUCCGACCGGGUCCACGA
rnacentral:tRNA from 1 species